rnacentral:rRNA from 1 species
GACGAACGCUGGCGGCGUGCUUAACACAUGCAAGUCGAACGGAAAGGCCCCGCUUUUGUGGGGUGCUCGAGUGGCGAACGGGUGAGUAACACGUGAGUAACCUGCCCUUGACUUUGGGAUAACUUCAGGAAACUGGGGCUAAUACCGGAUAGGAGCUCCUGCUGCAUGGUGGGGGUUGGAAAGUUUCGGCGGUUGGGGAUGGACUCGCGGCUUAUCAGCUUGUUGGUGGGGUAGUGGCUUACCAAGGCUUUGACGGGUAGCCGGCCUGAGAGGGUGACCGGCCACAUUGGGACUGAGAUACGGCCCAGACUCCUACGGGAGGCAGCAGUGGGGAAUAUUGCACAAUGGGCGGAAGCCUGAUGCAGCAACGCCGCGUGCGGGAUGACGGCCUUUGGGUUGUAAACCGCUUUCGCCUGUGACGAAGCGUGAGUGACGGUAAUGGGUAAAGAAGCACCGGCUAACUACGUG